AACGAACGCUGGCGGCAUGCCUAACACAUGCAAGUCGAACGAGACCUUCGGGUCUAGUGGCGCACGGGUGCGUACCGCGUGGGAACCUGCCCUUAGGUUCGGAAUAACUCCCCGAAAGGGGUGCUAAUACCGGAUAAUGUCUUCGGACCAAAGAUUUAUCGCCUUUGGAUGGGCCCGCGUUGGAUUCGCUAGUUGGUAGGGUAAAAGCCUACCAAGGCGACGAUCCAUAGCUGGUCUGAGAGGAUGAUCAGCCACACUGGGACUGAGACACGGCCCAGACUCCUACGGGAGGCAGCAGUGGGGAAUAUUAGACAAUGGGCGAAAGCCUGAUCCAGCAAUGCCGCGUGAGUGAUGAAGGCCUUAGGGUUGUAAAGCUCUUUUACCCGGGAUGAUAAUGACAGUACCGGGAGAAUAAGCUCCGGCUAACUCCGUG
rnacentral:rRNA from 1 species